UCGGGAAUUUUGGGCAAUGGGCGAAAGCCUGACCCAGCAACGCCGCGUGAGGGAUGAAGUAUUUCGGUAUGUAAACCUCGAAAGAAUGGGAAGAAUAAAUGACGGUACCAUUUAUAAGCUCCGGCUAACUACGUGCCAGCAGCCGCGGUAAUACGUAGGGGGCAAGCGUUGUCCGGAUUUACUGGGUGUAAAGGGCGCGCAGGCGGGAUAAAAAGUCAGUGGUGAAAUCCUACAGCUUAACUGUAGAACCGCCUUUGAUACUUUUAUUCUUGAGUUCGGGAGAGAGAGACGGAAUUCCAGGUGUAGUGGUGAAAUACGUAGAUAUCUGGAAGAACACCAGUUGCGAAGGCGGUCUCUUGGUCCGACACUGACGCUGAGGCGCGAAAGCGUGGGGAGCAAACA
rnacentral:rRNA from 1 species